GACGUAGGGUGCGAGCGUUGUCCGGAUUUAUUGGGCGUAAAGAGCUCGUAGGCGGCUCGUCGCGUCGACCGUGAAAACCCGCAGCUUAACUGCGGGCUUGCGGUUGAUACGGGCGGGCUAGAGUUCGGUAGGGGAGGACUGGAAUUCCUGGUGUAGCGGUGAAAUGCGCAGAUAUCAGGAGGAACACCGGUGGCGAAGGCGGGUCUCUGGGCCGAUACUGACGCUGAGGAGCGAAAGCGUGGGGAGCGAACAGG
rnacentral:rRNA from 1 species